UAGCCAGGCCGGGCCCCUCUGGUCGCUCCUCACAGGAGCGGCGAUGUCGGACUGGAUGA
rfam:Microvirga aerilata strain BSC39 scf7180000028499, whole genome shotgun sequence.